rnacentral:lncRNA from 10 species
UUUCCUCCUCCUCUCCUUCCUGUGCCCAGGAUGCAAACAGUCACCAGAAGCCCGGCUGGGUCAUGCGGGCAGCCUUUCGGGAUCUAAAAGACAACAACAUGCAACUACAAUUCUCUAGCUUCCUUGGAUUUUGCACGCAGCUUCACCAGACAGCAGACUGUGACCCUUUUCAUCAGACCAUGCUAGAAGGAAAGAAAGACUCUGAGCAGAAGGGGUGAGAUGAAGCAGUUCUGGCCGAAUCUUGAUAAUGAUUGGACCUGGGCAAUGAUUUCAUAAGAGCUUAUUGUGCUCAUCUCCCUACUACUAUGUAUGCUUGAAUAUUUGAAUAAUGAAAAUAAAACUUCUUUUUUUUUUUUCGAGAU